AUUGAACGCUGGCGGCAGGCCUAACACAUGCAAGUCGAACGAGUGGCGGACGGGUGAGUACUGUCUGGGAAACUGCCUGAUGGAGGGGGAUAACUACUGGAAACGGUAGCUAAUACCGCAUACCAUCGGAUGUGCCCAGAUGGGAUUAGCUAGUAGGUGGUGUAAAGGCUCACCUAGGCGACGAUCCAUAGCUGGUCUGAGAGGAUGACCAGCCACACGGAAACUGAGACACGGUCCAGAGUCCAACGGGAGGCAGCAGUGGGGAAUAUGGCACAAUGGGCGCAAGCCUGAUGCAGCCAUGCCGCGUGUAUGAAGAAGGCCUUCGGUUUGUAAAGUACUUUCAGCGGGGAGGCGUUACCCGCAGAAGAAGCACCGGCUAACUCCGUGCCAGCAGCCGCGGUAAUUC
rnacentral:rRNA from 1 species